GACGAACGCUGGCGGCGGGCUUAACACAUGCAAGUCGAACGGAAAGGCCCUGCUUUUGUGGGGUUCUCGAGUGGCGAACGGGUGAGUAACACGUGAGUAACCUUCCCUUUACUUUGUGAUAUCUUCAGGAAACUGGUGCUAAUACCUGAUAGGUGCUCCUGCUGCAUGGUGGGGUUUGGACAGUUUCGGCGGUUGGGGAUGUACUCGCGGGUUUUCAGCUUGUUGGUGGGGUAGUGGCUUACCCAGGCUUUGGAGGGUAGCCUGCAUGAGAGGGUUACCGGCGACAAUAGGACUAAGGGAGGGAGCAGAGUGGAACGGGAGACAACAGGGGAAAAUAUUGCACAAUGAGCGGAAGCGUGAUGAAGAAGCGCCGCGAGCGGGAUGACGGCCUUCGGGGUGUAAAGCGCAUUAGCCUGAGACGAAGCGGGAGUGACGGUAAUGGGAAAAGAAGCACCGGCUAACUACGUG
rnacentral:rRNA from 1 species